rnacentral:rRNA from 1 species
UGAAUACGAGACGCUACGGCGUCGAAGCAGUCUAUGUCAUACUUCCAAGAAAAGCUCGCAAUGUCUUGAACAAAUAAUGCCUGUACCAUAACCGACACAGGUGGGUAGGUAGAGUAUACUAAGGGGCGCGAGAUAACUCUCUCUAAGGAACUCGGCAAAAUGACUCCGUAACUUCGGGAGAAGGAGUGCCUUAUUUAUAAGGUUGCAAUAACAAGAUCCAAGCAACUGUUUAUCAAAAACACAGGUCUCCGCUAAGUCGUAAGACGAUGUAUGGGGGCUGACGCCUGCCCAGUGCCAGAAGGUUAAAGAAGUUGGUUAGCAUUCGCGAAGCUGAUGACUGAAGCCCUGGUGAACGGCGGCCGUAACGAUAACGGUCCUAAGGUAGCGAAAUUCCUUGUCGGGUAAGUUCCGACCCGCACGAAAGGCGUAAUGAUUUGGAUACUGUCUCGGAGAGGGACUCGGUGAAAUAGACUUGUCUGUGAAGAUGCGGACUACCUGCACCUGGACAGAAAGACCCUAUGAAGCUUUACUGUAACUUGAAAUUGAAAUUGGACUUUAUUCGCGCAGUAUAGGUGGGAGGCGUUGAGAAUAUUCUUGCGGGAAUGUUGGAGCCAUCAGUGAGAUACCACCCUUGUAAUGUUAGAUUUCUAACUUUGUAUCAUGAUCUGGUCAAAGAACAGUUUCAGGCGGGCAGUUUGACUGGGGCGGUCGCCUCCCAAAUGGUAACGGAGGCGUACAAAGGUUUCCUCUGAACGGGUAGAAAUCGUAUCUAGAGUGUAAAGGCAUAAGGAAGCUUGACUGUGAGACCUACAAGUCGAGCAGGGACGAAAGUCGGUCUUAGUGAUCUGACGGUGCUGAGUGGAAAGGCCGUCACUCAACGGAUAAAAGUUACUCUAGGAUAACAGGCUGAUCUCCCCCAAGAGUUCACAUCGACGGGGAGGUUUGGCACCUCGAUGUCGGCUCAUCGCAUCCUGGGGCGGUAGUACGUCCCAAGGGUUGGGCUGUUCGCCCAUGAAAGCGGUACGCGAGCUGGGUUCAGAACGUCGUGAGACAGUUCGGUCCAUAUCCGGUGUAGGCGUUAGAAUAUUGAGAGGAGCCUUCUUUAGUACGAGAGGACCGAGAAGGACAUACCUCUGGUGUACCAGUUAUCGUGCCAACGGUAAACGCUGGGUAGCUAUGUAUGGAGAGGAUAACCGCUGAAAGCAUCUAAGUGGGAAGCCCACCUCAAGAUAAGUA